rnacentral:misc_RNA from 1 species
GAUGAAGAACGCAGCGAAAUGCGAUAAGUAAUGUGAAUUGCAGAAUUCAGUGAAUCAUCGAAUCUUUGAACGCACAUUGCGCCCAUUAGUAUUCUAGUGGGCAUGCCUGUUCGAGCGUCAUUUCAACCCUUAAGCCUAGCUUAGUAUUGGGAAUCGACUUUACUGUCGUUCCUCAAAUUCAACGGCGGAUUUAUAGCAAUCUCUGAACGUAGUAAUUUUUUUCCUCGUUUUUGAAAUACUAUAAACCUCAGCCGCUAAACCCCCAAUUUUUCUAUGGUUGACCUCGGAUCAGGUAGGAAUACCCGCUGAACUUAAGCAUACAAUAAGCGGAGGA